GACGAACCGUGCGAACGUUGUUCGGAAUCACUGGGCUUAAAGGGCGCGUAGGCGGCCGGGCAAGUCAGGGGUGAAAUCUUUCGGCUCAACCGGAAAAGUGCCUUUGAUACUGCUCGGCUCGAGGGAGGUAGGGGCGGACGGAACUUCCGGUGGAGCGGUGAAAUGCGUUGAUAUCGGAAGGAACGCCGGUGGCGAAAGCGACGGACUGGAUCUCUUCUGACGCUGAGGCGCGAAAGCUAGGGGAGCAAACGGGG
rnacentral:rRNA from 1 species